CCUACGGGAGGCAGCAGUGGGGAAUUUUGGACAAUGGGCGAAAGCCUGAUCCAGCAAUGCCGCGUGCAGGAAGAAGGCCUUCGGGUUGUAAACUGCUUUUGUACGGAACGAAACGGUCUGCUUUAAUACAGUGGGCUAAUGACGGUACCGUAAGAAUAAGCACCGGCUAACUACGUGCCAGCAGCCGCGGUAAUACGUAGGGUGCGAGCGUUAAUCGGAAUUACUGGGCGUAAAGCGUGCGCAGGCGGUUAUAUAAGACAGUUGUGAAAUCCCCGGGCUCAACCUGGGAAUUGCAUCUGUGACUGUAUAGCUAGAGUACGGUAGAGGGGGAUGGAAUUCCGCGUGUAGCAGUGAAAUGCGUAGAUAUGCGGAGGAACACCGAUGGCGAAGGCAAUCCCCUGGACCUGUACUGACGCUCAUGCACGAAAGCGUGGGGAGCAAACAGGAUUAGAUACCCUGGUAGUCCACGCCCUAAACGAUGUCAACUGGUUGUUGGGUGCAUUAGUACUCAGUAACGAAGCUAACGCGUGAAGUUGACCGCCUGGGGAGUACGGCCGCGAAGGUUGAAACGUUAAAUUGAAUUGAGG
rnacentral:rRNA from 1 species